rnacentral:tRNA from 1 species
AGGUUUUCUCCGGGAAAAGUUUGUCUUGAAAAUAAACUUGAAGUGUUCGACUCACUUAAAAACCUA